rnacentral:rRNA from 1 species
ACGGAAGGCAGCAGUGAGGAAUAUUGGUCAAUGGGCGGAAGCCUGAACCAGCCAAGUCGCGUGAAGGAAGACGGUAUUAUGUAUUGUAAACUUCUUUAGCAGUAGAGCAAUAAGCGCCACGCGUGGCGUGAUGAGAGUAUACUGAGAAUAAGCAUCGGCUAACUCCGUGCCAGCAGCCGCGGUAAUACGGAGGAUGCGAGCGUUAUCCGGAUUUAUUGGGUUUAAAGGGUGCGCAGGCGGCUUUCUAAGUCAGUGGUCAAAUCGUGGUGCUCAACGCCAUCCCGCCAUUGAUACUGGAGAGCUUGAUUGCGGUCGAGGUUUGCGGAAUUCGUCGUGUAGCGGUGAAAUGCAUAGAUAUGACGAAGAACACCGAUUGCGUAGGCAGCAGACCAGGCCGUAAAUGACGCUCAUGCACGAAAGUGCGGGGAUCGAACAGGAUUAGAUACCCUGGUA